rnacentral:rRNA from 1 species
AUACGAAGGGGGCUAGCGUUGUUCGGAAUCACUGGGCGUAAAGCGCACGUAGGUGGAUCAAUCAGUUGAGGGUGAAAUCCCGGGGCUCAACCUCGGAACUGCCUUCAAUACUGUUGGUCUUGAGUCCGAGAGAGGUGAGUGGAAUUCCUAGUGUAGAGGUGAAAUUCGUAGAUAUUAGGAAGAACACCAGUGGCGAAGGCGGCUCACUGGCUCGGUACUGACGCUGAGGUGCGAAAGCGUGGGGAGCAAACAGGAGUAGAAACCCUAGUAGUCC